AAUAUCAUAUGUUGAUUUUAUGUGUAUAUUCUGAUAGAGAGCAGUUUUUUGAAUUCUUUCGUUUACACAUAAAAAAGAGAAUUAAGCAAAAUCUUGCAUUCAUGAAAUUUUGAACAUAUAUUUCUAAGCUUUGGGUAAAAGAAUACAAAAUGAGACUAUUGGAAAUAUAUUUCUCAUUCUCUAUAAAAUGAUAAGAUUAAACGCUCAAAUUUUCCCCUUUUUACAACUAGAUACACUUACCAACUAUUGAACCUUCAGCGCACAACAAAUAUAUGAGACAACACGGCGUAUGAGUAACAGUGUCGUUGUAAAAUUGAAUGGCAAGCGGAAAAGUGAACACAGAUACGGAUGUGCCCCGCACUUUUGCACUUGCACAAAUACCAACCAACUCGACCAAGUAACGCACACCGAAGAAGCUGUUGGGCAGGGCAAAGGGGUCAUAGUUGUAGCUGAAAGUGCGUAUGUGUGUGAGUUGCUUAACUUUUUUCGAAUGCCUGAUUUGCCCUGUAACAGAAUAUAAAUGUAUCUGUGUGAAUGGCGAACUGUGCGCAUUUGUGUGUGUAUCACGCACGUCUCACUUUGCCCCAUGCCGCGGCGCCUUUGUUGGUGCGAGUUUCAGUUGACUAUUUAAUAAAUCCCAGUUUUGUGGUCAGCAUACCAAA